CACCAGCGACUGGAACCAGCAACUCUGUCAGGGAUUGUAGGAUUUAUCCUUAGUCUUUUAUGUGGAGCUCUGAAUUUAAUUCGAGGCUUUCAUGCUAUAGAAAGUCUCCUGCAGAGUGAUGGUGAUGAUUUUAAUUACAUCAUUGCAUUUUUCCUUGGAACAGCAGCCUGCCUUUACCAGUGUUAUUUACUUGUCUACUACACCGGCUGGCGGAAUGUCAAAUCUUUUUUGACUUUUGGCUUAAUCUGUCUAUGCAACAUGUAUCUCUAUGAACUGCGCAACCUCUGGCAGCUUUUCUUUCAUGUGACUGUGGGAGCAUUUGUUACACUACAGAUCUGGCUAAGGCAAGCCCAGGGCAAGGCUCCCGAUUAUGAUGUCUGACACCAUCCUUCAGAUCUAUUGCCUUGGCUUCAGGGGGAUAAGGAGGGAACAUAUCAUAACUGCACUGUGAUGAAGAAGCUGUUCCCCACAGAGGAGAAGCUCUGCUUUCUUUCUCUCCAACUUUCCUUUUUUAAAAUCAGCAUGAUGUGCCUGUGAGCAUGGAAGAGUCCUCUCAGAAGAAUGUUGGCCAUGAGACUAUCAUUCAGAGGAGGAGGGGAUUUCUCUCUUCAAGGCCGUAACAGUGGAAGAACAGUCAUAUGCCAUUGGAAGUCUUGGCCAGCAGUCCUGAAUCCUUCCUGAAGAGUUCAGAAAAUAGAUGUGGUAUUGCUCUGAGGACCAGGCAGGAGGAACUCUACAACCUGAGUUUGCCUUUGUGAGGCAUUAGUAUAGACCAAAUAAAAAGCUGCAGAAAUUGGAAAGUUUAUGUUUUAAAUAAAUGACUGUGAUAAAUA
rnacentral:lncRNA from 1 species